ACGUUGCAAGGUCUUCUCUCCGGCCGGCGGGCACACCACUGCACACAUCGAGGAAGGCUGCGGCUACCCCGCCGCUCGCCUCUCGGUGCAUAGAUGAUGGACUCUGACAUGCUGAAAUUGUUGGAAAAAGCAUCGCGCUACCUCAGGUUUCUGCCAGAACAGCACAGACAGGUCAUGCAAGGCAACAGAAAGACCAUCCGCAACAGUAACAGCAGUACAGCCUCCUUCAAAUCCAGCGUUGUGAGAAGACUUGGAGCGGACCAGCUGGUCCUCUCCUGAAAAGAAGAGAAUCAGGAAGACAAGGCCAAGGCCAGAAUACCCAAGAGAUGCACUAAAUCAGUGCAAUUUCUGCAGCAACCUCCCACAGCCAGGACUCUAGAGCUUAAAAUCUGUUUUCCUUGGCAAGUGCCACAGUGAAUGGGUCUAUAACCCCCCCAGGAUUGCUAUUACCCCAACCCUUCAAGUGACUAUUUUCACUGACAUGGUUGCCAUUUGAGAUGAAGGGAAUUAAUGCAAGAAGGCAAAUCAUGAGCGAAAAAAAUUCACAUUCAACAACUAUGGAUGUACCAAUCCAUGAAAAACAUACUAAGUUUAAAAAGGCAAAACUGAUGCAACUAGAGGCAUGGAACCUUUAUAUCUUCACUAACACAGAUAAUCUGUUCUGCCAGGAAGUGAUCUGAGAGGAAGAAAAGGAGUACAGGCUAAGGACAAGUUUCAUUUGAGUAGGGGAUGUUUUCCUCUGCAACUCAGGGAAAACAGGCAACUCUGCGAGAACACCUCUAACACUGCCCUACCAAUUUAAGUACAAGGGGAAAAUGGGUAACAGUCCAGGAGCAAUGAAUUGCUCAUCUCUUUUGCUCCCUCCUUCACCCCUGACAGCAACAUCACCUAAUGUAUUCCUGGAAAGCAGACAGACAGUCCAAAUAUAUAGAGAACACAAAAAUCUACGAAGUAUUAUAGAAUUUGGGGAACGUCAAGAAGAAAGAUUGGAACCUAUUUCCCAUGCCUCAGCAUAUAUCUUUUUCCAACGAAGACAUGUCAGCAUAGAAAACAUUUCAAUACUUAUAAGCAGAAGCUAUAACGUGAACACAAAGUAGUAACAAAAAACCCCCAAACCCCCAAGAGAUCAGCCCCUUGCAGAAGAGUGUCUGCACUAGGUCAGACAAAGAAGCCGCGGCAGUUCAGCAUCUGUCUUAAAAAGCAGGCGUGUGUGAAAUUGUAUGAGAACGGGGCCAGCACAGAGCAUUACUUGCCCAAAAUACAAUUCCCAGCAUCCAGUGAUUUGGAUCUCAGAAACCUUCCGAGUCAGAGACGAUACGUUGAAAAGCUAUCUGAAUCAUCUGUAAGCUAGGUAUUCAGCUUUAAUUACCUUGCUAUGUAAAAGUAGGCUACAGUCCUCAUUUUUACAUUUUAAGUAUUUGCACCAAAAAAAAAAUAAAAAAAUUAUAAAUUCACUACUCAGAUUUCCUCCAAGAUAUCCAGAGCUUUAUUGCAUAUAAUCAGCCUUUUGCUAAAAGGAGCACGGUAAGCCAUUUGGUUAACUAUCACAACAAAUCAUUAUUAAUAAAGUUCUGCUAAAUCCAAACUUUAGAUAUCUUAACAACUCACCCAAAACUUUUUUCAAGUUCAUUAACCUCUAGCAUAUUUUUUUCUCUAAAUACAGGCUGUUAGAGUGGUACUUUCUUCCAUCUGUUAAACAACCGUGCUCUGAAUUACACAGAAAUUUAGCUGAAUAAAAAAAAAAAUGAUUCAUUGAAUUCAAUAGUUUAGACAAGGCUCUAUUUUAUUUCCAUGUACUCAAUGGCAAAAUUCUCACAAAGCCCAAAAUGUACAAGAGUUGGAUAAACACACAGACUUCUGUUAAGUGAUAAAAAUUUGGGCUUUUUUCCCCCCCCAUGAAAAAUUUAAACUAACUGAACUUUUUUCUUUAAGGAUUGAGGAAAAAAAAGCUGCCAAAUUUGUUUCUGGAUGUUCACUCUUGGGGAGAGCAGGGUGGCAGAACAAUACAAUAACCAUACACACAACCAAAAGACUGCAAACAGUCAGACAAUAGCAUUUUCUGAGGCAAAAUGAAACAAUCCUGCAAUUACCAAAACUCAAGCUGCAAUGAAUAGUUGGCAUGUCAACCUUCUGGAGUUUUCUAGAAAUGUGUAAUGAGUAGUACAUUA